rnacentral:rRNA from 1 species
GCAUAUCAAUAAGCGGAGGAAAAGAAACCAACAGGGAUUGCCUUAGUAACUGCGAGUGAAGCGGCAAGAGCUCAAAUUUGAAAUCUGGCACCUUCGGUGUCCGAGUUGUAAUUUGUAGAAGCAUCUUUUGGAUUGGUCCUUGCAUAUGUUCCUUGGAACAGGACAUCAUAGAGGGUGAGAAUCCCGUUCAUGGUGGGGAAUCCAAUUCUUUGUAAAGUGCUUUCGAAGAGUCGAGUUGUUUGGGAAUGCAGCUCUAAGUGGGUGGUAAAUUCCAUCUAAAGCUAAAUAUUGGCGAGAGACCGAUAGCGAACAAGUACAGUGAUGGAAAGAUGAAAAGAACUCCGAAAGGAGAGUGAAAAAGGACGUGAAAUUGUUGAAAGGGAAGUGCUUGAGAUCAGUCUUAAGGUUUAGUGAUCAGUCUUCCUUUUGGUUGGUGCACUCACUAUUUCUUAGGCCAACAUCAGUUUUCGCGGCAGGAUAAUGACAUUGGAAUGUGGCUCUUUCGGGAGUGUUAUAGCCUUUGUUGAUACUGCCUGCUUAGACUGAGGACCGCGCUUUUGCUAGGAUGUUGGCAUAAUGAUCUUAAGCAGC